CCGGCCGGCAAAACCGAGUUCGAGUUCAUGUAAACAUCCUACACUCAGCUGUGACCCACCCAGCGGCUGGGAGGGGGAUGUUUGCUUCAACCGACUUGGAACCGCAGCCGG